UUUGAACGUUCGAUCUCAAAUCAGGUAGGACUACCCGCUGAACUUAAGCAUAUCAAUAAGCGGAGGAAAAGAAACUAACAAGGAUUCCCCUAGUAACUGCGAGUGAAGCGGGAAGAGCUCAAAUUUAAAAUCUGGCGUGCCUCCGGUCGUCCGAAUUGUAGUCUCGAGAAGUGUUUUCCGUGCUGGACG
rnacentral:rRNA from 1 species